GGCCAGUGUGGUGUAGUGGUUACAGUAUUGGACUAGAACCUGGGAGACCAGGGUUCAAAUCCCCACUUGGCCA